ACAAAGUCAGCCUUUCUUUAGCUCGAGUACAAUGUCGUCUUAAUACGGCUUCUUUCGAUAACCAGUAAUGUGCGAUUUUCGCUUAGUAGCUUUACUUGAUUCUGUUUCCUCGUGUAUUUCACAACGCCACACUGUAAUUAGUCCACCCUCGCCAGUAGUUAUCAGAUAUUUUUCCUGCAAAACAGACACAUAUUGAUAAGCAUCAAAAUUUAAGUGGGUGAGAAGCAAUAAACAGAAUACGAGUCUUUAUUAUUAAAUGAGGAUACUGGCUCUCACGAUUUGGUUAUUGUGUUGUAAGUUCAAAUGCGGCGAAAAGCAUUCAUUAUCGUAUUUGAGUGUUCGAAGACACUCCCUGGAAAUGUAAAAACGUUUAUAUGCCGUUAGCCAACAAAACGGAGCACAAAUAAUGUAGCUAUUUUUAAAUUGCUGUAAGCCCAAAAAACACUUGAUAGGCCUCGAUUGAUUGCAGUUUUACUCUGGUUGAAUUUUCACGCGUUCCAUAGACGAGGUUAAUUUUUGACUUCUAUUAUCUAGUACGAUCCUAAUGUUCACCUCACACUAGAUCGUGCAGUCUUAUAGAGAAAGCUCUAAUCCACAGAACGCUUUCAAGCUACAUCGAACCUAAUCAACCUGAUUUUUUACGCAUCAAUAUAUGAAAGCAACGAAAAUUCGCGUUUGUUCAACUCACAAAUUGAAAAAUGUUAAUCUUUUAAUUUUAAUAACUAACGGAAGACUGCAGGGAUAAUUCCUUGUUUGCUAAAUGAUAAACGAAAUAAAUGAACACUCACCCUUUGUUAUAGUUGGAACCAGCAAGUAGAAAAAAACCUGAAGGUUCAUCGUUAUGCGCAGCAACUACAUUGCAGUCAAUCGGCGAGGUUCUUUGAAUUAGCGAGGACUAGAAUGCCAACUAAAUGUUUCGACGGAAUUUUCUACGUUAAAACAAUACUGUAAUGCAUCAUCUUCACAGGAUUGUGAAAUAUCAAAUACAUUUACAAGUCCAUCGACACUACUACUAGCUAGUAAAUCCGGAUUAGUUGGAUGGAAACGGACGUUAGUUAUAUCUUCGCUAUGGCAUUCCCAGUAACUGCCAAGAAAAGCACGUUCUCGCACGUCAUAGAAUAGUAGGAAACUAUCGCCAGAUUCUUGAAUAUCCGUAGAGGCGCAAAUUACACGAUCGUUUUGAUUUAUAUCGAAA